ACAAAUGACAACAACAGUCCAGUGUAGAGCCAGACUGGGGAACAGUGUAGCGUUGGUCUGGGUUUCGGGAUCCUGCUUUCAGGAUUUUCUGGUUCAUUCCCAAGGAAAUUAUUCAUCUUUUCUGUACUCCACUACCUUACAACUCAACGGAGAUUCCCAAUGUGUUUUGUGUUUUAAAGGGAUUCCUGGAUUUAACUCAACAUCUGCUGCCUUCUGUAUAGAACUAGAAAAACGCCCUGGAAAUGGAAAUGGAAAUGGCACAGGGAGAAGCGGCGGCGGCCGUGCGGGAACCAGGAGCGGCGCAGGGGAGGGAUGAGCCAGGUCUGGAUAGUUAGGCUCUCCACAAAGACAGGAAUUGUUUUCUUAUAUAAUAUUAUGGCUGCUGUCAUAUGAAAUGGAUAGAAGGCAUGUCAACCAAGGUAUAACCCACCUUUUGCAACUCUGCACGGCCUAGCACUACCGGACGGAGCAAUACUGAGAAUAUUCCUGGUCUUUUUGGCUCAAACAUUCUGUGUCGAUCAAUUUCUUAAUAUGUAUUUAUUCCGCAUCCAGUAAAUGAUAAAAUUCUGAUGGUCUGUUUCUGCCACUAGGGGGAGCUUAGGAGCUAAAUGCUUUACUCUGCUUUUUUCAGUUAUUUAUUUAUUUUAUGCACUUAUAUAGCGCUACUAUAUU